rnacentral:tRNA from 1 species
GCCUGGCUAGCUCAGUCAGGAGAGCAUGGGACUCUUGAUCUCAGGAUUAUGAGUUCUAACCCCAUAUUGGGUA